rnacentral:lncRNA from 1 species
AAUGAAUUCUGUAAGAUAUCUGCAUUAGUAGAAAGUUGUUCUCAUUCAUAACCAAUUCAUUCAGCUUAGUCAAUAAAUAUUUAUAGAAGACAAUACUAUUUCUUAUACUCAAGAUCCUGAAAAAUAACCCUGUCCCUGGUAUAUAACACAGACAACAUGCAAGAAAAGGGAGAAUUUAUUAAUAGACCUUUUCAACAUUUAUUUAUUUAUCAUUUAUUAUUUCAGUUUUAGAAAUUUCAUAAGUAGAAAAAUGUAAAACUACUUUAUAUUUUUCUUUAAAGAUCUGUUAUCUACUAUGAUAUAAUUUUUUUUUNNNNNNNNNNUAUGAUAUAAUUUUUUUUUUAAAUUAUCAAAGUUCACUUCAUUCCUUCUACCGUUCACUAACAUCAACACUACUGUACCAAGUAUACUACGCAGAUCAUAGCUUUUCCAUAAUUAGAACUGCAGUGGAAACUAAGAAGAUACUUACCAGGAAAAAGGUAGUUAUUGACAAAUAAAAUAUUCUUUUGCUCUGUGGAGAACUUUGAGAGAUUUAAUCCAAAUUAGAUUGCCAAAGAUUGCUAAAUGGUUCUGCACACUAGAGUGAGAGGACUUUGGGCUUCCCAUUAGGAAUGAUUAUACCACUUUUGGAGUACACAUGCUUUGGAGUACAAACCAUGAUAAAAAUUAGAAUUCAUAAAUUACAGAUAGCAAUUUAAACUUACACAACCAGUUUGGGAAGCAAUCUUGCCACAUAAGUCGAGUCAUAAAAUGUUACUUUGAUUUGAUCUGUUAGUUUCAUAUUUGUGAAACUGUCCUAACAAAGUAACCCCAAAUACAGAAAAGUUUAAUGAUCAUAGAUGUUCAAUAGAGUAUUAUUUGUGGUCAUAAAACACCAGAAGCAAAUAAAAACUUAUCAGUAGGGAGAUCGUUAUCUAAGUUUGGUAAACCCAAGUAAUAAUACUACUUAGUCAUUAGAAAUAGUGAUUACAUAAAUUAUUUAAUAAAAUUAGUAUUUAAUACUAAU